rnacentral:lncRNA from 1 species
AUCAGAAGGACCCGGACGCAGCCCUUGACUCUAGGAAAGUACACAUCUCCGUUGUUAACUCAAUCUGCUGGAGUGGCGCCUGAUGCUUGAGAUGUUCAGGGGUGGAUGCGGAAAGAAGAGGAUUUACCCCGGCUUGUCACUGACUUCUGCCUCAGGUCACAUGAAUGAGUAGAAACUAGUUUAUGGCGGAAUGAACGGAUGUGGUUAAAUACACCUGCACGCUUCCCCCAACCCUGCCAACAGCAUGCUGGAACACCACACGUGGUCAGGAAGCAUGUGGACCUCCAGGAUGAGAUGGUUGGAUGGCAUCACUGACUCAAUGGACAUGAGUUUGCACAAACUCUGGAAGAUGGUGAAGGAUGGCAGAGCCUGGCGUGCUGUAGUCCAUGGGUUCGCAGAAAGUGAGAUGCCGCUGAGUGACGGAACCACAGUAACAAACCCGAUAGACCAUAGUGGGAUCAACGCUGCCUUCCUUAGUCCUCGUUCAGUGAAACGCAGUGAGUCAUGA